GACGAACGCUGGCGGCGUGCCUAAUACAUGCAAGUUGAGCGCUGAAGGUUGGUACUUGUACCAACUGGAUGAGCAGCGAACGGGUGAGUAACGCGUGGGUAAUCUGCCUUUGAGCGGGGGACAACAUUUGGAAACGAAUGCUAAUACCGCAUAAAAACUUUAAACACAUGUUUUAAGUUUGAAAGAUGCAAUUGCAUCACUCAAAGAUGAUCCCGCGUCUUAUUAGCUAGUUGGUGAGGUAAAGGCUCACCAAGGCGAUGAUACAUAGCCGACCUGAGAGGGGGGACGGCCAAAUUGGGACUUGGACAAGGCUCCAAAUCCUUAGGGAGGCAGCAGGAGGGGAUCUUCGGGAAUGGACGAAAGUCUGAACGGGGAAAGCCGGGGGGGGGAAGGAGGUUUUCGGAUCGUAAAAAUCUGUUUGUAGAGAAGAACGAUGGUGAGAGUGGAAAGCUCAUAAAGUGACGGUAACUACCCAGAAAGGGACGGCUAACUACGUG
rnacentral:rRNA from 1 species